GACGAACGCUGGCGGCGUGCCUAAUACAUGCAAGUAGAACGCACAGUUUAUACCGUAGCUUGCUACACCAUAGACUGUGAGUUGCGAACGGGUGAGUAACGCGUAGGUAACCUGCCUGGUAGCGGGGGAUAACUAUUGGAAACGAUAGCUAAUACCGCAUCAUAUUAAUUAUUGCAUGAUAAUUAAUUGAACGGUGCAAUUGCACCACUACCAGAUGGACCUGCGUUGUAUUAGCUAGUAGGUGAGGUAACGGCUCACCUAGGCGACGAUACAUAGCCGACCUGAGAGGGUGAUCGGCCACACUGGGACUGAGAAACGGCCCAGACUCCUACGGGAGGCAGCAGUAGGGAAUCUUCGGCAAUAGACGAAAGUCUGACCGAGCAACGCCGCGUGAGUGAAGAAGGUUUUCGGAUCGUAAAGCUCUGUUGUAAGAGAAGAACGGGUGUGAGAGUGGAAAGUUCACACUGUGACGGUAUCUUACCAGAAAGGGACGGCUAACUACGUG
rnacentral:rRNA from 1 species